CCCUAGUAGUGUGGCCAUCUUCUGGCAUCUCUGGAGGUGGCAUGUCAAGGGCUUCAGCCAAAGAUGAAACAUGGCGAUAUAAAUUGUCAUAAGAUUUUCGCAGCUUUUCAUAAGAUGCAACAUUUUCAUCACUGAGCUCUCCUUUAGCAUUCAAGAUCUUUGUAUUUUCAUGCUCCAUUUGGCUAAGAGAAGUGUGCUCAGACCGAAGUAAUUCUGAUACAGCAUCAAAAUAUGUAUUAAAGGAUUUCCUGAAUAUUUUCUUUU
rnacentral:misc_RNA from 1 species